UACGUAGGGGGCAAGCGUUGUCCGGAAUUAUUGGGCGUAAAGAGCGCGUAGGCGGUCCGGUAAGUCAGCUGUGAAAGUCAAGGGCUCAACCCUUGAAAGCCGGCUGAUACUGCCGGACUAGAGUCCGGAAGAGGCGAGUGGAAUUCCCGGUGUAGCGGUGAAAUGCGCAGAGUAUCGGGAGGAACACCAAUGGCGAAGGCAGCUCGCUGGGACGGUACUGACGCUGAGACGCGAAAGCGUGGGAGCGAACAGG
rnacentral:rRNA from 1 species